rnacentral:pre_miRNA from 1 species
UAAGUACUCCCUCCAAUCCCAAAAUUAUUGUCUUAGAUUUAUCUAUAUACAGAUGUAUCAACUCACAUUUUAGUAUUAGAUACAUCCGUAUCUAGACAAAUCUAAGACAAGAAAUUUGGGACAGAGGGAGUAGUUG